rnacentral:sRNA from 1 species
UGAGUAAGGUAUACAAGAAGAUCGCCAGC